UACGAAGGGUGCAAGCGUUAAUCGGAAUUACUGGGCGUAAAGCGUGCGUAGGCGGUUGUUUAAGUUUGGUGUGAAAUCUCCCGGCUCAACUGGGAGGGUGCGCCGAAUACUGAAUGACUAGAGUGCGGGAGAGGAGAGUGGAAUUCCUGGUGUAGCGGUGAAUGCGCAGAUAUCAGGAGGAACACCGGUGGCGAAGGCGGGUCUCUGGGCCGUAACUGACGCUGAGGAGCGAACGCGUGGGAGCGAACAGG
rnacentral:rRNA from 1 species